UGCUAAUGUGACCUACACUGGUAUUUCACAAGGAACCUAUUGAGAUCAUUCCAAAAACCGAUUAUACGUGAGAAAAAUGUGAUUGGACUAUUACAAAUCCUAAUAAUGGAAUCAACGACGAUGGCAAAGCAUGCUGGAAACAGAAAAAGACGGGAAAGAUGCUUAUGAAAGACUUUGGAUGCACCUAUGAAGGUGAUGCAAGAAAAUACUUUGCCAUACAGUUUAUCAUUGAAUGACUACCGCAGACAGCCUUCUUAUGCUGAAAAGAAGUGCUAUGCUAAUUCUGGACAUUGCUAUUAUCCAGACAGAAGAUGACCGGAAAAAGAAAUUAAGGCUGAUAACUGCCAACACCCAGCUGUUUUUCAAGAUGCAGCAUGGUACUGACAAAACCAGAUUGACUAUCAGAGCACCUCACAGUACAAGACACAGAUUGUUAACUACAACUCAGAAAAAGUGGUUAAUAGGAAGGAUCAGAAGAAGAGGAAUAUAGAUUUCCUACUGGAGUGAAAAACCAUCCUUGAACCAUAUUCUGUAACAAUGAACUUUACAAUGACAUUUGGUGGCAUAUGAAUUUGAAUUUGGUAGAAACACAUCAAUUAACGAAAGAAACCUUGAUGCAAUUAAUAAAUAAUAACAAUACCGGCCUACUAAGAGCAGAU